UACGGAGGGUGCAAGCGUUAUCCGGAUUCACUGGGUUUAAAGGGUGCGUAGGUGGGAAUGUAAGUCAGUGGUGAAAUCUCCGUGCUUAACAUGGAAACUGCCAUUGAUACUAUGUUUCUUGAAUUUUCUGGAGGUAAGCGGAAUAUGUCAUGUAGCGGUGAAAUGCGUAGAUAUGACAUAGAACACCAAUUGCGAAGGCAGCUUGCUACAGGGAUAUUGACACUGAGGCACGAAAGCGUGGGGAUCAAACAGG
rnacentral:rRNA from 1 species